UCUGUCUGUAACACCAGUAAAUCUUCCCUGAGGUCAGUCUCUUCCCUGAGGUCAGUCUCUGUCUGUAACACCAGUAAAUCUUCCCUGAGGUCAGUCUCUUCCCUGAGGUCAGUCUCUGUCUGUAACACCAGUAAAUCUUCCCUGAGGUCAGUCUCUUCCCUGAGGUCAGUCUCUGUCUGUAACACCAGUAAAUCUUCCCUGAGGUCAGUCUCUGUCUGUAACACCAGUAAAUCUUUCCUGAGGUCAGUCUCUGUCUGUAACACCAGUAAAUCUUCCCUGAGGUCAGUCUCUUCCCUGAGGUCAGUCUCUGUCUGUAACACCAGUAAAUCUUCCCUGAGGUCAGUCUUUUCCCUGAGGUCAGUCUCUGUAUUUAACACCCUUAUAUCUUCCCUGAGGUCAGUCUUUUCCCUGAGGUCAGUCUUUCCCUGAGGUCAGUCUCUGUCUGUAACAACAGUAAAUCUUCCCUGAGGUCAGUCUCUUCCCUGUGGUCAGUCUCUGUAUUUAACACCAUUAUAUCGUCCCUGAGGUCGGUCUCUUCCCUGAGGUCAGUCUCUUCCCUGAGGUCAGUCUCUGUCUGUAACACCAGUAAAUCUUCCCUGAGGUCAGUCUCU
ensembl:lncRNA